rnacentral:rRNA from 1 species
AGCGAACGCUGGCGGCAGGCUUAACACAUGCAAGUCGAGCGCCCCGCAAGGGGAGCGGCAGACGGGAGAGUAACACGUGGGAACAUACCUUUUGGUUCGGAACAACUGAGGGAAACUUCAGCUAAUACCGGAUAAGCCCUUACGGGGAAAGAUUUAUCGCCGAAAGAUUGGCCCGCGUCUGAUUAGCUAGUUGGUGAGGUAACGGCUCACCAAGGCGACGAUCAGUAGCUGGUCUGAGAGGAUGAUCAGCCUCACUGGGACUGAGACACGGCCCAGACUCCUACGGGAAGCAGCAGUGGGGAAUAUUGGACAAUGGGGGCAACCCUGAUCCAGCCAUGCCGCGUGAGUGAUGAAGGCCUUAGGGUUGUAAAGCUCUUUUGCCCGGGAAGAUAAUGACGGUACCGGGAGAAUAAGCCCCAGCUAACUUCGUG